CCUCUCAUUACUAUCAUGGCUCCAUUUGAGAUGUUAACACCCUACUCCUGGCAUGACUGCUGAAGCUGUAGCCGCUCCGCUCCAGGUAACCAAGUGACACGAGAUUCUUCUUCAGAUCAAGGACGUGCUUCACAUUAGUGAGAGUCCGCACCAUCCCAUCAAGCAUCCUCAUCCGAAUGCUCUCAAUAUCAGCAACUCUACAUAGGUGAUCAUCUUCAAGUGUCAUGCUCCCUUCAUCCAUCCUGGUGUAUGUAGCGAACCA
rnacentral:lncRNA from 1 species